rnacentral:rRNA from 1 species
UACGGAGGGGGCUAGCGUUGUUCGGAAUUACUGGGCGUAAAGCGCACGUAGGCGGCUUUGUAAGUUAGAGGUGAAAGCCCGGAGCUCAACUCCGGAAUUGCCUUUAAGACUGCAUCGCUAGAAUUGUGGAGAGGUGAGUGGAAUUCCGAGUGUAGAGGUGAAAUUCGUAGAUAUUCGGCGGAACACCAGUGGCGAAGGCGACUCACUGGCCCGAUACUGACGCUGAGGCGCGAAAGCGUGGGGAGCAAACAGG